GACGAACGCUGGCGGCGUGCUUAACACAUGCAAGUCGUACGGUAAGGCCCUUUCGGGGGUACACGAGUGGCGAACGGGUGAGUAACACGUGCGUAACCUGCCCACAACUUUGGGAUAACGCUAGGAAACUGGUGCUAAUACUGGAUAUGUGCUCCUGCUGCAUGGUGGGGGUUGGAAAGCUCCGGCGGUUGUGGAUGGACUUGCGGCCUAUCAGCUUGGUGGUGGGGUAGUGGCCUACCAAGGCGGCGACGGGUAGCCGGCCUGAGAGGGUGACCGGCCACAUUGGGACUGAGAUACGGCCCAGACUCCUACGGGAGGCAGCAGUGGGGAAUAUUGCACAAUGGGCGCAAGCCUGAUGCAGCAACUCCGCGUGCGGGAUGACGGCCUUCGGGUUGUAAACCGCUUUCAGCAGGGACGAAGCUUUUUGUGACGGUACCUGCAGAAGAAGCACCGGCUAACUACGUG
rnacentral:rRNA from 1 species